rnacentral:ribozyme from 14 species
AUAUACUAUAUUGAUAAAUUUAUAUUUCUACUGACUGAAAAGGAAAAGAAAAAGAAAUGCCUCCUCUUUUUCAUCUGGUGCUUAUGUACA